CAGGCCUAACACAUGCAAGUCGAGCGGCAGCACGGGGAGCUUGCUCCCUGGUGGCGAGCGGCGGACGGGUGAGUAAUGCAUAGGAAUCUGCCCGGUAGUGGGGGAUAACCUGGGGAAACCCAGGCUAAUACCGCAUACGUCCUACGGGAGAAAGCAGGGGACCUUCGGGCCUUGCGCUAUCGGAUGAGCCUAUGUCGGAUUAGCUGGUUGGUGAGGUAAUGGCUCACCAAGGCAACGAUCCGUAGCUGGUCUGAGAGGAUGAUCAGCCACAUCGGGACUGAGACACGGCCCGAACUCCUACGGGAGGCAGCAGUGGGGAAUAUUGGACAAUGGGCGCAAGCCUGAUCCAGCCAUGCCGCGUGUGUGAAGAAGGCCCUCGGGUUGUAAAGCACUUUCAGUGGGGAAGAAAGCCUUCCGGUUAAUACCCGGGAGGAGGGACAUCACCCACAGAAGAAGCACCGGCUAACUCCGUGCCAGCAGCCGCGGUAAUACGGAGGGUGCGAGCGUUAAUCGGAAUUACUGGGCGUAAAGCGCGCGUAGGCGGCUUGAUAAGCCGGUUGUGAAAGCCCCGGGCUCAACCUGGGAACGGCAUCCGGAACUGUCAGGCUAGAGUGCAGGAGAGGAAGGUAGAAUUCCCGGUGUAGCGGUGAAAUGCGUAGAGAUCGGGAGGAAUAUCAGUGGCGAAGGCGGCCUUCUGGACUGACACUGACGCUGAGGUGCGAAAGCGUGGGUAGCAAACAGGAUUAGAUA
rnacentral:rRNA from 1 species